AGUGAACGCUGGCGGUAGGCCUAACACAUGCAAGUCGAACGGCAGCACAGGAGAGCUUGCUCUCUGGGUGGCGAGUGGCGGACGGGUGAGGAAUACACCGGAAUCUACUUUUUCGUGGGGGAUAACGUAGGGAAACUUACGCUAAUACCGCAUACGACCUACGGGUGAAAGCAGGGGACCUUCGGGCCUUGCGCGAUUGAAUGAGCCGAUGUCGGAUUAGCUAGUUGGCGGGGUAAAGGCCCACCAAGGCGACGAUCCGUAGCUGGCCUGAGAGGAUGAUCAGCCACACUGGAACUGAGACACGGUCCAGACUCCUACGGGAGGCAGCAGUGGGGAAUAUUGGACAAUGGGCGCAAGCCUGAUCCAGCCAUACCGCGUGGGUGAAGAAGGCCUUCGGGUUGUAAAGCCCUUUUGUUGGGAAAGAAAUCCAGCUGGCUAAUACCCGGUUGGGAUGACGGUACCCAAAGAAUAAGCACCGGCUAACUUCGUGCCAGCCGCCGCUGUAA
rnacentral:rRNA from 1 species